AUUGAACGCUGGCGGCAGGCCUAACACAUGCAAGUCGAGCGGAGCGGCGGACGGGCGAGUAAUGCCUAGGUAUCUGCCUGGUCGUGGGGGAUAACGUACGGAAACGGGCGCUAAUACCGCAUACUAUCAGAUGAGCCUAGGUCGGAUGAGCUAGUUGGUGGGGUAAAGGCCUACCAAGGCGACGAUCCGUAACUGGUCUGAGAGGAUGAUCAGUCACACUGGAACUGAGACACGGUCCAGACUCCUACGGGAGGCAGCAGUGGGGAAGCUUGGACAAUGGGCGAAAGCCUGAUCCAGCCAUGCCGCGUGUGUGAAGAAGGUCUUCGGGUUGUAAAGCACUUUAAGUUGGGAGGCGUUACCCACAGAAUAAGCACCGGCUAACUCCGUGCCAGCAGCCGCGGUAAUAC
rnacentral:rRNA from 1 species